UUUUGCCCAUGCUUAAAAAUACUUUUAUUUUGAGAUAUCUUAAACACACAGUUAGAAAAGAACCCAUCACAUAUCCCAUUAAAUCAACAUGCGGACCCAACUACAUCAACAUUUUAAAAGAAAGAAAACACAACUGAAACCUCCAUGUACCCUCCCUGCUUCCAUCAGCAACUCCUGCUCUAGGAAGGCAGAGCAUGGCUUUCACACAUCAUUCUAACACAGGAUUUUACACUCUUCAUCUCAUAUAACUUGAAUCACAGGAAAUAUAUUAUUGUGUAAAACAGUAACACUGGCUACCUUAUGCCAACAAUGCUUACAUGCCCGCCACUAUUCUAAGCAGUUUACAUGCAUUAGUUCAUUAACUGUCCCCCUCCCCCAUCACCCGGUGAGGUUGGCACUACUAUCUCAUUUUACAGAAAAAGUGAAACACGAGUAAGUUUAAAUAAUGUGCCCACAGAUACACAGUAUGUUUAACUUUACAUAAAUGGUGUGCAGCUUCUCCAGCUUUCUCUGCAUCAUUUUUGAUUCAUCUAUGUUGAAAGAUGUAACUCUAGUUCUUUCAUAUUCACUUACCAAAAACAACCUGUUCUUCUGCUGAUGGAAAUUUAGGCUUCUCCUAAUCUUGCUAUCUACACAGUACUGCAAUGAACAGUCAUAGACACAUUUCCUUCUUCAAAUGGAGUUACUUUAGGGUUUAUCCAGGAGUAGAAUUCUGGGUGGCAGAAUAUACACAAUUUUACCAGAUUUUACAUAUUGCUUGGCACAGCAGUUGUCACAAUUUCCAUUCCCACAGCAGUGAGUUCCCAUGUACCAUACACUUACCCACACAAGGGCUUCUAAAAAUUAGCCAACUUCAUGAGUAUAAGAUGAUCCACAUCAAUUUACAUUUCCUGCACGUUCUUCUCUACACUCACCUCUGCCUGGACUGACAGGUUCUGUCAGCAAGGGUGAGACCAACCACACUGAACACUUGCCUGAAACAUCUCCUGAUAUCCACCCCUCUGUGGAGUCCCAGCCCAUCUGGCUCCCACGAGCCCUAAUUUCAGUUCCUCCCAGGGAGUGGGAGAAUGCGG
ensembl:lncRNA